AAAGUUUGUUUGGAUUAAAAAACAUAUUUUUUUGCAUAUGUUGUUGUUUUAAAACUAUUUAUUGAAAAGUUAUGUUAGCACUACAGUUUUAUUUAUCUGUUCUUAUUUAUCCAUUCUCUUUUUCUGAUUUAUCUUUUUUUUAUUAUUAUUCUGAUCCUGUUUGAUUUGGUAACACAGAACAACAUCUUCACAAUGGUUGGAUAGAAAGGAGGGAGAACCAAGAUAUUUUGAAAUGAACACAGAAGUUUCACACCUCAGCAAAGUGGGGAAUUGUACUGGUCUUGGCUGGGACAGAGUUAAUUUUCAUCAUAGUUGUCUGUAUGGCGCCAUGAUUUGACAGCAGUUUUUGGCCAGUUUUCUUACUUUUACCCUUCUGAUUCUCUUCUUCCAGGGUUAACUCAGAGCUUGUAAUUACAAAGUAAUUUUUAUAAGUGCUCAAAGGCAAGCAAAAGCAGCAAUGGUUAUCCACUUCACAGAAUUCUCUGCAUAAAGAAAGACAGCAGAGAAACACAAUGCUUUUGUUUAUUUGUUUCAAGAUAUUUGAACAGUGUUUUUCAACGUUCUCUGCGGAUCUAUUGGAUGAAGAAAAAGACUUGAGCGAAGUAUCAUUUUUUAAGACACUUAAGCCUAUAUCAGUCGCUGGGGUUCACCACAACUGGAACCCAGGACACAUCUGUUCUCUGCACCAUGUCCUUGUAGUGCAAUUUGAUGCGCAGAUUUUUAAGUGUCAGAAGUAUAAGGAACAAAGAUAUUUUAAAAAGAAGAAAAGAAAAAAAAGGGAAGGGAAGGCAAGACAAGUCA
rnacentral:lncRNA from 1 species